CCAGGGUUCACAGGAAAUUGGGGCCGGGGUCUGCUCGCACCUCUCAUCCUGUCAGCCCCUUCUUCAUGAUGGGAGGUGCUUGGGGUAAGCCACCGAAGGAGCUGAUAGGGAGAGAUCACAUGUGAAAGAGGGGAUGGGAGGAGAGAGACAGGGCGGGGAGAACUCUAGUGGAAGGGCUGACCCCAGUAAGGGGGUGGGGUUGGGCGGGGGGGCUGCUUCUGGCCCUGAGCUAAUAAAAACCCCUUCUGGGCCGGGACCCCAGCAGCUCUUACAAUGGCAGCUUUUCUCUUGCUUCUCUCCCUGACCCUCCUGGCCGGCCCAGCCUGGGCCGGCACAGGCCUGAUCCCCAAGGACCACAAGCAGGAACCAGCUCUCUGGCACCAGCAGCACCAUCAAGACAGCCGCUUAACGGGGGACCUGCUUGACCGGAAGGUGUCACCCCGUUUCAUCUGCAGCACCUGUCAAGUCAUCAUGACGAAGCUUAAAGAGCUGGUUGGGGACAAUUCUGACGAUAUGAAUGAGAUUAAGAAGGCAGAGAAGCAGGUGUGCAGCUCUGUGAGCUUCUAUCUCCGGUGGGCCUGCGAGAAACUCAUAAAGAAGUUCUUCCUCCCCAUCGCCAGAGACUUCUUAAGCGGCAAGAAUCCCCGGCAGGUCUGCGAGGACAUCAAGAUCUGCAAGCCUAAGAAAGACCAGGAUGCCGGGGAGAAGAUCCUGGAGUCUGAAUCUGCCCUUGAGAAGAGGACUCUGGAGGAAGAGUGGUCCCAGCCUGCCAAAAGGUCCCUUCGGAGAUACUGAUCCUGCUCAGAAGCUUCAGCGGUUCUGUCCAUGCACCCCCUCCCCCCCCCGAUCUGCCAACACCCCCACUCCAACUUGCAGCCCCUCCCCCUGGCUUUUCCAGAGAAUAAAAUGUCAUGAACGCACUGGGCUUCAGUGAUGGAUGUGGAGGGAGGAAACCUAAUGCUUUGGCAGGGCUGAAGCAGUGUCCACAGGUGCACCCGCCAGGGCAGGGCAUCAUCAUCCCUGCUGCCCCGAAGCCCUGCCCACCGCCUCUUUGGGUCCAUUCCCUUUGUCCGAGCUGCCAGGGUGGCCCUGCCCUGGGGGAGCAGGCAGGGCUAGGGCAACAACGGACAGGCUGGCAGGGCGGACACAGGUCAAGGCGCGUGCUCUUCCUGGAUCUCUCAUACCAUCCCCAGGAGGCAGGUCUUCUCAGAUCCAUUUUUACAGGCGGGGGAAACUGAGGUCUGGCAAGU
rnacentral:lncRNA from 1 species